rnacentral:tRNA from 1 species
GGAGCGAUGCUCGAGUGGCUGAAGAGGCACGCCUGGAAAGCGUGUAUACGCCAAAAGCGUAUCGGGGGUUCGAAUCCCCCUCGCUCCG